CGGAGGAUCCAAGCGUUAUCCGGAAUCAUUGGGUUAAAGGGUCCGUAGGCGGUCUUAUAAGUCAGUGGUGAAAUCUCCCCGCUCAACGGGAAACGGCCAUUGAUACUGUAGGACUUGAAUUAUUAGGAAGUAACUAGAAUAUGUAGUGUAGCGGUGAAAUGCUUAGAGAUUACAUGGAAUACCAAUUGCGAAGGCAGGUUACUACUAAUGGAUUGACGCUGAUGGACGAAAGCGUGGGUAGCGAACAGGAUU
rnacentral:rRNA from 1 species